CAGACACAUUGGCAGUGGUAAAUUCGUAUGAGUUAUGUAGUAAAUACGUUCCUCGAUGGUUGGAAGCCAGCUACUUGACAUUGGCAAAUGACAUUCAGUUGGUCACGUUUUGGAAGGGUUAAAAGUGCGUGUUUCUCCUAUGGACAGGGACAGCGACAGGGACAGGGAUCAUGUGCUUGAUUUGUCAUCUCAUGUUGAACAUGGAGACAGAUCGAGCGACCUUCAUCUAUAUGUGUAGUACAACUGUAUAUUGUGGUAUGUACUCAGGGCAAGGAAUUGAAAAGAGUUGGUCAUGACGUGAAAGUAGCGAACUCAGUAAGUGGCCCUAAAUCCCAAGUGGAUCUCCCAUGAGAAUUGAGGUCACAAAAGAAGAAGAAGCAUCGACUUGAAAGUAAUAUCUGUUGAAAAAGUUUUUUGUGCUGCUCCAUCUAGCGUUCAUCAAGAACGGCUUUAUACCUCCCAGCAGAAAGUUAUGAAGGUAGAUCAUAAUCGGUUCGUUUCUCGAAGCGGAGCCGAAGAAAAGGAUCCGCCUUUUAUCUCAUUUCCUUUUAUUUGAGAACAGGCCUAGACGAAUUGGUUUCACCUGGAAUAAAUGUCAUUUGAAUAGAAACGGACUGUCCGGGAAUUCUCGGCUGGGAAUGGCCGAAAGUGAAUUUAUGAACCAUGUCCACAAAAGAUUUAGUGGAAAAGUGCACCAAGGACAAUGAAAAUCCUCUUCGCCGUGGUUUACCCCAAAGUAACUAGUUCACUCACCCUAAUUCGAGGAGUAGCCGACAUCAGCCGUUUCCACUUCUCUUUCCCCAAAUCCAAACCACAUUCUAGGCCCAAGGCCAACCACUCUCCAAGAAUCGAAUUGGUCGUGUCUGCUCAACUCUUUGUGUUGAUCUAAUCCGGAACCCUGGAACCUCUCAUUUCAAAUCGACCAAUCUCCGUCCCCAGAUUCUUCCUGGUACCUUCCGAAACACAAAAAGCAUUUCUUGUGUGAGUACACGACUCAGUUUAUACCACAGGAUCCACUUUGGCAAUCUUCAUUGGACGUUCGAUUUUGAGGCGACCGCAUUUUCCAUUCUCGAUGGUGGGUGGGCACCUUCAAAGCCAGAACUAGUGCCCACGGCACCCACAAACUUGAAUUCCCUUUGAAGGCCUUCUUUUGCCACUCGUGUGGCAUUUGGUGAAUGAACAGUUCUAGUUUACAACCAUUGUACACGUACUCAAGCUGAACAACUCAGACGAGGAUUGGACGCGAUUUUCAUUGGAACGUUCGGAAAGCUACCAACCAACUAUUGUGUCUUGAAAUGCGGAAGGCCUGGUCAAAGUGAGGGAGGGAGAAGAGGUGAAGAAUCAAAUCCAGACAUGAAAGUUUCUCAAUCACCUUGUCAAAAAAAAAACAAAUUUCUUCUUUUUUCUCCUCAAAACUCCGUUUCACCGUGACAUGCUUGAAAACUGGACCUUCCUUCUUUCCUUCUUUCUUUAUAUGUCUUUCUUGACAAUCUCGAUCGAUCGAGUUUGAAAGUUGCUCCAUCGAACUUUUUCUCCUUUUUCGAACAACGAACAACAAAUCGAUCAAUGCUAUUUGUUUGAUGAAACCUGUUUGCUCAUGGACAAUCGCGUUCCUUUUUAACGACAUCCGUCCACUUUCCCCGGUUCAAUUAAUUCGACCUUAAAAUUGACCUUGUCCGCUCCCCAAGAGGCAAAUGGCCAAAAAUAUUACUAGGUUGAACCACAUAAGAAACAUCCGCAACCGAGACCGAAUGCAUCGAAAAAGAACUUUUUUUGUGUGUGUGUUGUUUUGACCCAAAGAAACUGUUCAUUUCGUUAACACCCAA